rnacentral:rRNA from 1 species
AUUGAACGCUGGCGGCAGGCCUAACACAUGCAAGUCGAACGAGUGGCGGACGGGUGAGUAAUGUCUGGGAAACUGCCUGAUGGAGGGGGAUAACUACUGGAAACGGUAGCUAAUACCGCAUACCAUCGGAUUUGCCCAGAUGGGAUUAGCUAGUAGGGGGGGUAAAGGCUAACCUAGGCGACGAUCCCUAGCUGGUCUGAGAGGAUGACCAGCCACACGGGAACUGAGACACGGUCCAGACUCCGAAGGGAGGCAGCAGUGGGGAAUAUUGGACAAGGGGCGCAAGCUGGAUGCAGCAAUGCCGCGUGUAUGAAGGAGGCCUUCGGGUUGUAAAGUCCGUUCAGCGGGGAGGCGUUACCCGCAGAAGAAGCCCCGGCUAACUCCGUGCCAGCAGCCGCGGUAAUUC